CAGCUACUCCUUCCGUCCAACAAAAAAUAUCUCAAGUUUCUCAAAAUUUCAAUGUAUCUAGACAUGACUCAGUGUAUAGAUGCAUUCAAAUUUAAUAAAAAUUGAGACAUUUUUUGUUGGACGGAGGAAGUACCAU
rfam:Brachypodium distachyon strain Bd21 chromosome 4, whole genome shotgun sequence.